rnacentral:rRNA from 1 species
UACAGAGGGGGCGAGCGUUGUUCGGAAUUACUGGGCGUAAAGGGCGCGUAGGCGGCCCGCUAAGUCGAACGUGAAAUCCCCAGGCUCAACCUGGGAACUGCGUCCGAUACUGGCAGGCUUGAAUCCGGGAGAGGGAUGUGGAAUUCCAGGUGUAGCGGUGAAAUGCGUAGAUAUCUGGAGGAACACCUGUGGCGAAAGCGGCGCACUGGACCACAACUGACGCUGAGGCGCGAAAGCUAGGGGAGCAAACAGG